ACUUAUGUUAAUUUGGAUCAUCCAUCUAAUUGUUGGAGUUAUAAAAUUUUAUUAAGAUCUUGAAUUGUCUUAAUUAAAUAUUUUUCUAAGUUUUAUGAUGUAGUUCAUGUUGAAAUUUGAAAUUUGAAAUCCUGUUAUGAUGUAAUGCUAGCAUGAAGAACUUAUACAUGUGUGGAUCAAUUGUUAAUUUGAGGAGCACCUGACACCUCGCCUGAAAAUCUACAGAUUACACUUCUUCCAAUGAAAUUAUUUGAAUAGAUAUUUGAGAAUUUUAUGCGUGGUAGUUUUCUGAGCUUAUUCUCUUAAUGAUAUAUUUAUAGAAAAAAGCUGGGAAUCAUAUGACACAGACUACAAUACCACCUUUGGAAUUGUAUAGGUGUGCCUGUCAUUUGACAUAAUUUAUAACUUCAAAAACUGUGUUUCAUUGAACUUAACAUUACUGGGACUUCGUUUUAUGCUGUUACAAAUGUCUUCUUCAA
rnacentral:misc_RNA from 1 species